rnacentral:rRNA from 1 species
GUAGGGAAUCUUCGGCAAUGGGGGCAACCCUGACCGAGCAACGCCGCGUGAGUGAAGAAGGUUUUCGGAUCGUAAAACUCUGUUGUUAGAGAAGAACGUUAAGUAGAGUGGAAAAUUACUUAAGUGACGGUAUCUAACCAGAAAGGGACGGCUAACUACGUGCCAGCAGCCGCGGUAAUACGUAGGUCCCAAGCGUUGUCCGGAUUUAUUGGGCGUAAAGCGAGCGCAGGUGGUUUCUUAAGUCUGAUGUAAAAGGCAGUGGCUCAACCAUUGUGUGCAUUGGAAACUGGGAGACUUGAGUGCAGGAGAGGAGAGUGGAAUUCCAUGUGUAGCGGUGAAAUGCGUAGAUAUAUGGAGGAACACCGGAGGCGAAAGCGGCUCUCUGGCCUGUAACUGACACUGAGGCUCGAAAGCGUGGGGAGCAAACAGG